rnacentral:lncRNA from 1 species
AUGCAGCCAAGUAAAAUUACCGUGAAUUUGGAAGUGAAGCAAGUGAUUGGGACUCUGUGUAAACUGCUCUCGGCCGUGGGAUUGUACCAUGUACCCGCACCAGAGGCAUUUAGACGGGCAAAAUUUGGUUUUGGAGUCGAAAUGGAAUCUCAGUUUUGGCGGCUGAUAGCCGACAUUCUUCACAGUUCUGGCACUGUACACUCUCAAAUAGUUGCACAGCCCAAAGAAGAGUACAAGAAGCUGGUGGCUGCUGGCCUUUGGCAGACUGGUUAUUAUGCAGACUGGAUAUAUGAGAUGGAGGAAGAAGGACAAGAUGAAAAAAGUUUCUCCAGCCAAGAUCUCCUCUUGGCAGUAGGCUGGCUGCUCUCUAUUGGAACAAUAGAAAAGCUGCUGAUGCAAAGAGUACAACAACUAGACAAAACAUUACUCAGAUCUAUACCUGUCAGCUCUCAGGUUUCUCAAGAGCUGUGGCUUGAUUUGGUCUUGCUACGCAGACUUCAGUGGCUUGUUGGCAAUCUGAGACAUGAGGGACGAAUCCUGCUGUGCAUGUUAGAAGAAAAAAAUAGGUUGCUUCAUGCUUUUUUUUCUGCCAGCGUCUCCUCCAAAGUGCCAUACCUGUCUGACCAAAACUCCACAGCCCUAAAGAAUGACUAUGUUUGUACAGAGCAGCUCUGUGACCUCCUGGAAGCAUAUGUUAAUUGGAAACAGGUGGAGAAAGUCUUCUGGAGUUGGAUGGACAGUGUCAUUGGCUGCCAUUUGUCAGAACCUAAGAGAUGUACAAGUGUACCUGAUAUGGUUUCCAGUAGAAAUCAGGGCCUAGAGGAACUGGAGAACAUGCUAAUAAAACUGCCCAUUGCACAGAAAGGACAGAGGAGAGGCAGAGGUGAUUCUGAGGAAAGAGGAAGGACGAAUUUGCAGGAAGGUUUGGACACGUCCCCCUGUCUUCCUAUUUCUCUUCCACUUCUACCCUCCUUCUCCCACUCCUACAGAGCCAGACUUCAGGCUGAGAAGCCAGUCAGACUCAACCGCUACCCAUCAGAGGAACUCCACAACUGGGCCAAGACUACAGAGGAUUUCCAACCUUCUAAGACUGCAUGGGUACUUCUUGAGACAGAGGCUCAGCUGCUGCAAAGGAGGGACCAGCAGAGACAGGCCAACAGGAUGAUGCUACAACAUACUAUUAGCCUCUUUGAUGCUCAAAAUUCACAAUAAUAAGUAACCU